GUGCACAAAUUGCUGAAAAAUAAGAUGACCUUGGACAGAUCUUCUGAUAGCGAUGCAAAUGAGCAAGAAGCUGGUGAUACUGGUCAUGAGGAAAGUGAUCAGGCUGAGAAAGAGUGGACUGACAAUGAUAAUGUUGCUGAAUCUGAGUCAGACUCAGAAGUUGAAUCAGACACUGUGACUAUUUCUGAAAGGAAGUGUACAAAACCAAAAGCGUUUAUGCCUCCUAGUCAGAGAUCCCAUAGUAAGAGACCUGUGAAGCCUGUUAUAAGACUCACUUAUGACGAACCAGGAAGAAGUAGUGACCACCCAAUUGAAAUUGUCCAUAGAGGGGUCAUUAUUAAACUAGGUCAGAGUUAAAAUAACUAAAUGAACAACAAGGUAUAGACCGUAAAAUUUUGAUUUAAAUGUCUGAUGAGGACAUUCAGACAAUUAGAAAGGGGAGGGUGUAACCCAGUGUAAUAAUGUACAAAGUGUUUUUUUUAUAUAUAUACAUAUUAUGUGCAUUUUAGAAAUGUAUAUGGUUUUGGAUAAGUUCUAUGUUAAGUUGAUAUUAUUUUUAUUUUUGUAUUUUUAUAUUUCUAUUGUUUAUCCAAUUGUAUUCACUUGUCCACGUUGGGUGUCCAAUCUAUGCUCUAGAUUAAGGUGAAGGGGGCGGGAAGAAUUGAGGGCAAAGUUAAACGAGAAAGAAUUGGGAGAGCACGAGGGAGAAGAGCGUGCGAUCAUCUGGUGUGAUAUUGUUUCACAAAAGAUAGUGUAACUAAUGCUAUAAAAUGUGUUACGAUAGUUUAUGUAGUUAAGUUGUUGUCGAAAUGAGAACAGAAACUUAUACUACAGAGACGGUUGGCGAGUCGUCAGCGUGAGGAUUCGUGGCAGUUUCAGAUGAGGAUGAUUCCAGAUGACUUGUGAGUUAACGUGAGUACUCGGAAUUCCUUUUGCCUUAAGGAAAUCGCUGCGAUCGUGGAGUUGACGGACAUCUAACGUCGUGAGGUGAAACACGCUCUUCUGAUUGGAUGGUUCAAGGUAUUUUUAUUUUUUUUGUUUGUUGCUCAGUGUUGAGUGAAGCGGUCUUUUGUUUAUUUGUUGACCACAACGUACCCCAGCAUCAAACAGGCCUGCAACGUAAAAAUAACGAACUUUCAUAUUGAUUGAGGUUAAGUGUGAGCUCAUAUUGCCGGCUUAGUAUUUGUUUGAAGAGUUUAUUUAGCUUGAGUAAGAGUUUGAGGACUCAAAUUUGAAGUAAAACAACACAGGGGAACAAAUAUCCAUUUACAAAAAGAGUGAAUGUGAAAUGUGUAAUUGACUUUAUUGUUUUUUUCAUUUGUGUGAAUUUGUGAAAUUCUUAUUGCUUAUUUAAAUAAUUUUAUUUUACAUUUGGAAAAAAUCCUGAAACGUGAUCAUUUUACAUUUUAUCCAGUAAAUUGUUAUUUACAGUAUA